rnacentral:lncRNA from 7 species
UGUCAAGGAGAGGGAAUUAAAUUGGAGAGUCAUUCAGGUGAAUUCAGCUGUAUUUGUUGCUGCUGUAAACUUGAAACUCAAUUUUGGGCCAAGUAAAGCAUUUGCUAGAAAAUAUUACCCCUCUCUCUAUCUUUUUCUAGCUGAUUUAUGCCACAUUCUGGUGCUUAUUCACAGAUCUCAGCCUGUGCAUUUUGUUCAGAAAGGCCUACAUAAGAAAAGCUGCUGGCUCCAGACAGCCUGGAAGUCCUCACCCUUUGACAGCAUGCAUGUUCUCAAGUACAGAAAGCUCUGCUCACUGGUAUCUCUACCAGCCUAUUUUUGCACUGCUGCCUCCUAUACAUACCGGAACAAGCACAGGUAAUCAUUGGGAGAGGCAGCUACUUCAUUUCGAGACAAGAAGGAAACUUCUGAAUCAGAUUUGAAAUGAACAUAAGCUGUGCUACAGAUUUGUCUCUACAGAUUCCUCUGGUUGCUUUAACCCUUGAGAGCCCACAGCCUGGGGCACUUCCCCACUGCCUGCUCCUCCCCGGCCUCCCGCCCUUGCUAGCAGAUGGCCGUCUGCAAUGGCAGGUGGAAGGGCACAGCCAUGUUUGGAUGGGGCUGGCCGGGCUGGAGCAUUGCCAGCCUUUGCCUUUCCGCAGUAAAUAACCCAGUUCUUGAAUAAUUAAAGCCACUUUACAUCAAGGGUGAUCCAUAAAGGAAGUCAUUUUGCAUGUGAAAAGCUGUGAAGAGUGGAAGACAUUGGGGUAUCGCAGUCAGCAGAGAGCAUCUGAGAUUGGUUAUAGCACGGUAAGCUGCCUCCUUUGCACAGCUCUACAGGAUCAUGGAAGGAGGCCAAUUGCUGGAUUUCAGUGCUUUAUCUUGAUUAAACGGCUGUU